rnacentral:rRNA from 2 species
GGGCAUGCGCGUGCUAUACAUGCAGUCGAACGCACUGACGUCGACCGAAGCUGCUUGCAGUGGACGUUGAUUGACGUGAGUGGCGGACGGGUGAGUAACACGUGGGUAACCUACCCUUAAGUGGGGGAUAACAUUUGGAAACAGAUGCUAAUACCGCAUAACCAUUCAGACCACAUGGUCUGAAUGUAAAAGACGGCCUUUGGCUGUCACUUUUGGAUGGACCCGCGGCGUAUUAGUUAGUUGGUAAGGUAACGGCUUACCAAGACAAUGAUACGUAGCCGACCUGAGAGGGUAAUCGGCCACAUUGGCACAUUGGAACUGAAGAACCGCCAUCCUACGAUGCAGCAGUAUGGAUCUCACCAAUGGACGAAAGGUCGGAUGAGCCACGCGCGUGGAGGGAAGAUGUUUAGAUCGUAAACUCUGUUGUUGGAGAAGAACAGGACUAGAGUACUGUAGUCCUUUGACGGUAUCCAACAGAAAAGCACGGCUAACUACGUGCCAGCAGCCGCGGUAAUACGUAGGUGGCAAGCGUUGUCCGGGAUUUAUUGGGCGUAAAGCGAGCGCAGGCGGUUUUUUAAGUCUGAUGUGAAAGCCUUCGGCUUAACCGAAGAAGUGCAUUAGAAACUGGGAAACUUGAGUGCAGAAGAGGACAGUGGAACUCCAUGUGUAGCGGUGAAAUGCGUAGAUAUAUGGAAGAACACCAGUGGCGAAGGCGGCUGUCUGGUCUGUAACUGACGCUGAGGCUCGAAAGUAUGGGGAGCGAACAGGAUUAGAUACCCUGGUAGUCCAUACCGUAAACGAUGAAUGCUAAGUGUUGGAGGGUUUCCGCCCUUCAGUGCUGCAGCUAACGCAUUAAGCAUUCCGCCUGGGGAGUACGACCGCAAGGUUGAAACUCAAAGGAAUUGACGGGGGCCCGCACAAGCGGUGGAGCAUGUGGUUUAAUUCGAAGCAACGCGAAGAACCUUACCAGGUCUUGACAUCCUUUGACCACUGUAGAGAUACAGCUUUCCCUUCGGGGACAAAGUGACAGGUGGUGCAUGGUUGUCGUCAGCUCGUGUCGUGAGAUGUUGGGUUAAGUCCCGCAACGAGCGCAACCCUUAUGACUAGUUGCCAGCAUUUAGUUGGGCACUCUAGUAAGACUGCCGGUGACAAACCGGAGGAAGGUGGGGAUGACGUCAAAUCAGCAUGCCCCUUAUGACCUGGGCUACACACGUGCUACAAUGGUCGGUACAACGAGUUGCGAACCCGCGAGGGUAAGCUAAUCUCUUAAAGCCGAUCUCAGUUCGGAUUGUAGGCUGCAACUCGCCUACAUGAAGCCGGAAUCGCUAGUAAUCGCGGAUCAGCACGCCGCGGUGAAUACGUUCCCGGGCCUUGUACACACCGCCCGUCACACCAUGAGAGUUUGUAACACCCGAAGUCGGUGGGGUAACCCUUUUAGGGAACUAGCCGCCUAAGGUGGGACAGAUGAUUGGGGGAAGUCGAACAAGAGCCAGCCUC